CUUAUAUUCCCUUCAUUCCAAAAAAUUUGUCUUAGAUUUGUCUAAAUAUGAAUGUAUCUAGUCACGUUUUAGUAUUUAAAUACAUCAAUUUUUAAACAAAACUAAGACAAGAAUUUUAAAACGGAGGGAGUAUUUA
rnacentral:pre_miRNA from 1 species